rnacentral:rRNA from 1 species
AUGCUUAAAAUUGAUUUAGCCAAAGCUUUCGAUAGACUUGAAUGGAACUUCAUUAUGCAAGCUCUCUCACGAAAAAGGCUUCAUGGUCAUUUCAUCAAUUUGAUUUAUGCAUGCAUUACGGUUCCUUCUUUUUCUGUUACCAUUAAUGGCCAAUCUUAUGGUCGCUUCCAGAGUUGCAGGGGGGUUAGACAAGGAUGUCCUUUAUCUCCUUUUGUUUUAGCAAUUAACGAGCUUUCUAUAUCCCUCCAAGAGGCUAUGUGCUCAAAUCAUUUGGCAGGUAUAUCUUUAGGCACUGGUUGUCCUCCCAUUCACUCACUCAUGUUUGCAGAUGAUUUAUUAAUUUGUGGUGCCUCAAUUACUGAAGCUACUCACAUGCUCCAUAUUCUUCAAAGAUUUUGCAACCUAUCAGGUCAAACUCCUAACUGGAAUAAAUUAGGUAUCAUUUUCAGCGCAAAUGUUAGUGCUUGCAUUAAGGAUGACAUCAAAAGAAUUUUUCCUGUUAUGGACAUCGUGCUAAUUCAGUUCACCUUGGGCACCCUUUAA